AUGCCAUCUUGGGGACACUUUCAGAGCUAUCCUUUGAAUCUUUCCCAUGCUUCGUACAAGGAUUCACUUUCUUUUUGUUCAAAAGCAGUAAUUUAUGCUUUGAGCCU